UUAAUAUGUGUGCAAUUGGCGAUGCACUUUCUGGUACAAUGCAUGUGCUAGUUAUUGAAUUCUUUUAGCAGACCCAUCGACGAUUCAGCAUCAGGUUCCACUAAGGCUAGGAACUAAUUGAAUCCUACAUUAGGGGUUCUACAAGAGGCCGGUUGCCACCUAAGUCCUGCUUAAGGAUGACCCAAUGAAGCAAUCAAUUUAAAUAACAAUGAAUCACAACAACAGCCUGUCAUCUGCUUUUGCAUCUACCGCCACAUGUGCUUCUUCUAUUUUUAUUCAACACCUUCGACAUGCUAAGAUUAUGUUAAGUACUUCACACAUGCAAAGAAUAUGAUGUAAUAAAUAUGCAUACUUUCUCUCUAAUGUUAAAGCAGGGUGCUUCAAUGGCGGAUGCAUUUUAUUGUAACUUUUUGAGUUAUGGAAUAGAUGGCACAAGUUGGGAGGAUAGUUAGAAUUUUAGCCCAAUUAGAGAGAAAUAAUCACAAAUUGAAGAACCUAUCGUCUCCUCGAGACCCACCAACAAAAGAUCCAAAAAUUUCACCGAGCAAGAAGACGACUUGUUGGUACAAAUAUGGCUAAAUACCAGUUUGGAUGCAUCAAUCGGGAACAAACAAAAUCGUGAAUCUUAUUGGGCUAGGAUUCAUCAUUACUAUCAGCAGAACAAGCAAUUUGAAUCUUUGCGCAAUCAAAAUUCUCUUGCCAACCGUUAGGGUACUAUUCAAGAAUAGUUUACAAGUUUUAUGGAUGUUAUGACCGGAUUCAGAAUAGAAGAUAAAGCGGCAUGACAGCGCAAGACAGGAUUGUUGAGACAUGUACUUUGUACGAGGCGGAAGAUACUAAAGGGAGAUCAUUUGGAUUACUGCAGUGUUAGAGAAUCUUAGAGCACCAUCAAAAGUGGACUUCUAGAUUAUCUCAGAAAAAACAAAAGACAGCCUCCAAUGCAUGUUCGAGUACUUCAUCUCUGGGUACGACCUCCAACGAUGAUGAAGUUGAGGCUUGCACUCUUGAACAUGAUCCAUUGAGAAGGCCAAUUGGCAAGAAGCCCGAGAAAGAACGAUUACAACGAGGUAAAAGUUUUGCCUCUUCACAUGGUAAUACUGUCAUGUUAGCAUUGGAUAAAGUGUGGUCAAAGAAGAUUGAGAGGAAAGACAAGAAAGAGGCCAAGAAAGAUGCUUGCUAUAAGCAAGCACUUACAAUGGAAGAAAAGAUGAUUGCACUUGAACAAAGUAAGCAGGAAAUAAAAAGAAAGAAGGUAGCGCUAGAACAACAAAAGCUAGAUCAACAGAGAAAGCAUGAUGAAGAGAGGAUUAUAAGCAUGGAUAUUAGUGGUAUGACUGGGCCACAACAAUAGUACAACAUGAGCUUGUAGGGUGAGAUCAUCGCUCGGCUAUACAACACAUCGGGUUGAGACUAUUAUAUUUUUUAGUUGUGAUCUCAGAUCUCAAUCUGGUUGUAUAUUUUAAUAUGCAAUUGAUUUAGCAGUUACCUUGCUGACCUUAUGCAAGUA